GCUCCUGUAGCUCAGUCGGUAGAGCGUUUCCAUGGUAAGGAAGAGGUCGCAGGUUCGAUUCCUGUCGGGAGCACCA
rnacentral:tRNA from 36 species